CUCAUGAUGUAAUGGGAGGUAUUAAUGUCAGGUUGACAGGCCCUCAUGAUGUAAUGGGAGGUAUUAAUGUCAGGUUGACAGGCCCUCAUGAUGUAAUGGGAGGUAUUAAUGUCAGGUUGACAGGCCCUCAUGAUGUAAUGGGAGGUAUUAAUGUCAGGUUGACAGGCUCUCAUGAUGUAAUGGGAGGUAUUAAUGUCAGGUUGACAGGCCCUCAUGAUGUAAUGGGAGGUAUUAAUGUCAGGUUGACAGGCUCUCAUGAUGUAAUGGGAGGUAUUAAUGUCAGGUUGACAGGCCCUCAUGAUGUAAUGGGAGGUAUUAAUGUCAGGUUGACAGGCUCUCAUGAUGUAAUGUCAGGUUGACAGGCCCUCAUGAUGUAAUGUCAGGUUGACAGGCUCUCAUGAUGUAAUGUCAGGUUGACAGGCCCUCAUGAUGUAAUGUCAGAUUAACAGGCUCUCAUGAUGUAAUGUCAGAUUAACAGGCUCUCAUGAUGUAAUGUCAGGUUGACAGGCUCUCAUGAUGUAAUGUCAGAUUAACAGGCUCUCAUGAUGUAAUGUCAGAUUAACAGGCUCUCAUGAUGUAAUGGGAGGUAUUAAUGUCAGGUUGACAGGCUCUCAUGAUGUAAUGGGAGGUAUUAAUGUCAGAUUAACAGGCUCUCAUGAUGUAAUGGGAGGUAUUAAUGUCAGGUUGACAGGCCCUCAUGAUGUAAUGGGAGGUAUUAAUGUCAGAUUAACAGGCUCUCAUGAUGUAAUGGGAGGUAUUAAUGUCAGAUUAACAGGCUCUCAUGAUGUAAUGUCAGGUUGACAGGCUCUCAUGAUGUAAUGGGAGGUUGACAGGCUCUCAUGAUGUAA